UACGGAGGGUGCAAGCGUUGCUCGGAAUUAUUGGGCGUAAAGGGUAGGUAGGUGGUCUCGUUUGUCUAAGGUGAAAGCCCUGAGCUUAACUCAGGAAGUGCCUCGGAAACGGCGAGACUAGAGUCUUGGAGAGGGUCGCGGAAUUCCCGGUGUAGCGGUGAAAUGCGUAGAGAUCGGGAGGAAUACCAGAGGCGAAGGCGGCGACCUGGACAAGAACUGACACUCAACUACGAAAGCGUGGGGAGCAAACAGG
rnacentral:rRNA from 1 species